AUUGAACGCUGGCGGCAGGCCUAACACAUGCAAGUCGAACGAGUGGCGGACGGGUGAAUAAUGUCUGGGAAACUGCCUAAUGUAGGGGGAUAACUACUGGAACCGGUAGCUACUCCCGCAUACCAUCCUUUGUGCCCUGACGGGAUUAGCUUGUGGGUGGGGUAACGGCUAACCAAGGCGACGAUCCCCAGCUGGUCCGAGAGGAUGACAAGCCACACUGGAACUGAGACACGGUCCAGACUCCUACGGGAGGCAGCAGUGGGGAAUAUUGCACAAUGGGCGCAAGCCUGAUGCAGCCAUGCCGCGUGUAUGAAGAAGGCCUUCGGGUGGUAAAGUACUGUCAGCGGGGAGGCGUUACCCGCAGAAGAAGCCACGGCUAACUCCGUGCCAGCAGCCGCGGUAAUAC
rnacentral:rRNA from 1 species